rnacentral:tRNA from 2 species
GCGACAGUGGCUCAGCUGGUAGAGUACAACCUUGCCAAGGUUGGGGUCGCGGGUUCGAACCCCGUCUGUCGCU